rnacentral:rRNA from 1 species
ACGAGCGCAACCCCUNUCCUUAGUUGCCAUCAGGUAANGCUGGGAACUCUAAGGAGACUGCCCCGGAAAUCCGGGAGGAAGGUGGGGAUGACGUCAAGUCCUCAUGGCCUUUAUGUCCAGGGCUACACACGUGCUACAAUGGGCGGUACAACGAGUCGCGAAGCCGCGAGGUCGAGCCAAUCUCAAAAAGCCGUCCUCAGUUCGGAUUGGAGUCUGCAACUCGACUCCAUGAAGGUGGAAUCGCUAGUAAUCCCGGAUCAGCAUGCCGGGGUGAAUACGUUCCCGGGCCUUGCACACACCGCCCGU